AGAGUUUGAUCCUGGCUCAGAACGAACGCUGGCGGCAGGCUUAACACAUGCAAGUCGAACGCCCACUUCGGUGGGAGUGGCAGACGGGUGAGUAACGCGUGGAAACAUACCUUUUGCUUCGGAAUAUUCCCGGGAAACUGGGAGCAAUACCGAAUGUGCCCUGAGGGGGAAAGAUUUAUCGGCAAAAGAUUGGUCCGCGUUAGAUUAGGUAGUUGGUAGGGUAAAGGCCUACCAAGCCUACGAUCUAUAGCUGGUCUGAGAGGAUGAUCAGCCACAUUGGGACUGAGACACGGCCCAAACUCCUACGGGAGGCAGCAGUGGGGAAUAUUGGACAAUGGGCGCAAGCUGAUCCAGCCAUGCCGCGUGAAUGAUGAAGGCCUUAGGGUUGUAAAAUUCUUUCACCGGGGACGAUAAUGACGGUACCCGGAGAAGAAGCCC
rnacentral:rRNA from 1 species